rnacentral:rRNA from 1 species
CUAGCAUAUCAAUAAGCGGAGGAAAAGAAACUAACAAGGAUUCCCCUAGUAGCGGCGAGCGAAGCGGGAAGAGCUCAAAUUUAUAAUCUGGCACCUUCGGUGUCCGAGUUGUAAUCUCUAGAAAUGUUUUCCGCGCUGGACCGCACACAAGUCUGUUGGAAUACAGCGGCAUAGUGGUGAGACCCCCGUAUAUGGUGCGGACGCCCAGCGCUUUGUGAUACAUUUUCGAAGAGUCGAGUUGUUUGGGAAUGCAGCUCAAAUUGGGUGGUAAAUUCCAUCUAAAGCUAAAUAUUGGCGAGAGACCGAUAGCGAACAAGUACCGUGAGGGAAAGAUGAAAAGCACUUUGGAAAGAGAGUUAACAGUACGUGAAAUUGUUGGAAGGGAAACGCUUGAAGUCAGACUUGCUUGCCGAGCAAUCGGUUUGCAGGCCAGCAUCAGUUUUCCGGGAUGGAUAAUGGUAGAGAGAAGGUAGCAGUUUCGGCUGUGUUAUAGCUCUCUGCUGGAUACAUCUUGGGGGACUGAGGAACGCAGUGUGCCUUUGGCGGGGGUUUCGACCUCUUCACACUUAGGAUGCUGGUGGAAUGGCUUUAAACGACCCGUCUUGAAACACGGACCAAGGAGUCUAACAUGCUUGCGAGUAUUUGGGUGUCAAACCCGGAUGCGUAAUGAAAGUGAAUGGAGGUGGGAACCGCAAGGUGCACCAUCGACCGAUCUGGAUUUUUAAUGAUGGAUUUGAGUAAGAGCACGUAUGUUGGGACCCGAAAGAUGGUGAACUAUGCCUGAAUAGGGCGAAGCCAGAGGAAACUCUGGUGGAGGCUCGUAGCGGUUCUGACGUGCAAAUCGAUCGUCAAAUUUGGGUAUAGGGGCGAAAGACUAAUCGAACCAUCUAGUAGCUGGUUCCUGCCGAAGUU